UGACGAAAGAGACCAGACAUUGGUCAGAGA
rnacentral:sRNA from 1 species